rnacentral:rRNA from 1 species
GACGAACGUUGGCGGCGUGCUUAAUACAUGCAAGUCCACUGAAGCAGUGGUAGCAAUAUCGCUGUGGAGGUGGCGCACGGGUGAGUAACACGUAGGUAAUCUGCCUUCAGGUCUGGCAUAACUCCGGGAAACCGGGGCUAAUAGCAGAUGAUGCAGCGGCUCGACAUCGAGACAGUUGUUAAAGCUAUGGCGCCUGAAGAUGAGCCUGCGUCUGAUUAGCUAGUUGGCGGGGUAACGGCCCACCAAGGCAACGAUCAGUAGCUGGUCUGAGAGGAUGAUCAGCCACACUGGAACUGAGACACGGUCCAGACUCCUACGGGAGGCAGCAGUAAGGAAUAUUGCUCAAUGGGAGAAAUCCUGAAGCAGCAACGCCGCGUGAGGGACGAAGGGCUUUUGGUUGUAAACCUCUGUAGUGAGAGAAAAAAAUCCCAAUCUUUGGGACAUGAUGGUAUCUCAAAAGUAAGCCCCGGCUAACUACGUG